ACCCCCCUCAGUCAUGCCCUGACCUACUCUACCAUAGAAAAUAAGAGCUCUCUAUGGUCAGGACGUGACAACCAUACCCUGUUCAAAAGCACUUUUGUCUUGCCCAUUCACCCUCUGAAUAGCACAAAUACACAAUCCUCAAUUGUCUCAAGGCUUAAAAAUCAUUUUUUAACCUGUCUCCUCUACAUUCAUCUACACUGAUUGAAUUUUUAACAGAUGACAUCAAUAAGGGUUCACAGCUUUCACCUGGAGUCACCUGGCCAGUCUAUGUCAUGGAAAGAGCAGGUGUUCCUAAUUUUUUUUUUUUUAUGUAUUGUACAUUCAGUGUAUAAAUUGAGUGAAACAGUACGUAAACAUUAGUAUCCCUUUCCUUUAGUCAAUGGCCAAAAGCACCCCCUUUGCCUCAUGGGUGGAAUGUUAGUCAUAUUUUUUAUAAUGUCAUAAUUAAUAAAGAUUAUUUGAAAACACUUGCAGAAAAUCCGGUGUUUCUAUGUCAAACAGUUUUGCUUUAUUUCAGUCUUCUGUGAUGUAUAUAAAGGGUAAUAUUGGAUGCAAAGUCAAAAUGUAAUCCAUUUCAACUCUAUAUCUGACAUGGUACAGGUGUCUUUGUUUUUUUAAGCCCAUAUUCUUGUGUGUGUAUACUUUUGUUUCACAGUAGAUUUGUUUAAGAACACCAAGAAUUACUCUGUGGGACCCUGAUUUAGCCCACUGCAGUAAAAGGUUAAGGCCACCAUUAUUCAAUGACUCUAUGUACAUAAGGCAGCAGUUUCUAAGGUGCAGGGUGGUAGCUGGCUAGAACAGUAUAAGAUUCAGUCUGAUGGCCUGGAGAUUUGCCUUGAUGCACCUGUACUGUCUCUGCGUUCUAGAUGGUAGCGGGGUGAACAGGCCGUGGUUCAGGUGGCUGAGGUCCUUGAUGAUCAUCUUGGCCUUCCUGUGACACUGGGUGCUGUAGAUGUCCUGGAGGGCAGGCAGUGUGCCCUGGUGAUGCGUUGGGCUGACUUCACCACCCUCUGGAGAGCCCUGCAUGUGCGGUGCAAUUGAAGUACCAGGUGGUGAUACAGCCGACAGGAUGCUCCGAAUGAUGCUUCUGUAGAAGUUUGUGAGGGUUUCACUUCCUUUCUGUAGGCUGUCUCAUCAUUGUUGGUAAUCAAGCC
rnacentral:lncRNA from 1 species